CCCAAAAGCACCAAGCCGUCUCUUUGCGCUCUCUCGCUUGCUUUCCUCUGCCAACUACAUAAUCCUUGAUUAAAAGUGGAAUGAGGCUAAUAAAAAGAUUAUUUUUUAAAAAAAGGGGAAAAAAAAAAGAGAGAGAGGGAGGAGGACAGAAUGGAGCCAAGGAAACGCCAACUGUCAGAAAACGGGAUGGUCAGACUUCCUGAGUGAACCUGCCUGUGUCUGGCUUAAUGUAAAUCCACCAUCUUCAGCCUGGAGGAAGAGGAGGAGGAGGGUGUGUUGUUGAAUGGUGGCUAAAGCCUCCUCGGGACGGCGCUGAGGUGAAAGAGGCUGAAGCCGGCUGAUGUGGCUCCUCUCUGGGUUGGACCCUGAGCAGCCGAGGAGAGACCUUCGGCCGCCCGGCUCGCAGGCUCCUUUUCAGUGCUGAAAUGGGCGAUGCUGACUGGGAACUGCGCGGUGAGGAAGCUCCUUCUCAACACGGAUUGACUGGAAUUUAGCAGGCUGUGCGCUGGGAAGCUUCUCUUGCCUGUACGCACACGAAAGGACUCUGCAAGCUGUGUUGGCAGUCUGGGGUUUGGCAGGGUGGGAGAGGCAGCCCCUGCCAUUAGGCAAGGUACAGAGAGGGGCUGGUGACCUGCAGCGGGACAAGAGGCCGCACGUACCAGGAUUUGCUCUCGGUUAUGCUUCUGGCAACUGACAUUUCCAUUUCACUCAAAGCUUCUACAUCUGUGUCACCAGGCAAAGCCCCAUGAGUGGUGGCAGAGCAAACCGUGGCCUUCAUUUUCAAGUUCAAAGAGAAAAGAAUUAUUUACAUGUCUAAAUCCCAGAACCUGCUGUUCUGAGGUCACUCUUUGUUACCCACUGCUUGAAACCGUGAAGGUUUCUGAAAGCUCUGUGAAGAAACUGGACACAGUUUGGGGCAGGAAAAUCUCAUUUUCAUUUUGUUGAAUUUUUUUCUUUUCUGUCAUUGUUUUUGACUGUAGCACCAUCUUUCUUGUCCAGAGGAACAUGGAAAAUGGGACGUUCCUGUCACUGCUUACAGCCAGGGACUGCUUCGAGGGACUGUCGGAGGUUGCAAGGCGAAUCUUUGCCCCUCCUUAAGGUUGUUACAGACUGUAGGCGAGCAUCUUUUAGUGUGUUGGAGCUUCGUGGUUUGUUUGGUCAGGGUGUUGAUUGAUGCAAUGGCUGCUCCUUGGCUGUUUGAUUACACUUCCAACUCCAUGUUUUAACAUUCUUUUGGUGAUGAAUUCAGGCAAACUUUUGCCUCUGUAUUUGAGUGUUGCACCGUUGAUGUUUUUCUGGCUCAGAGAUGUUUUCCUGUGCCAGACCUUUGCAUUUAGUCACAUUGGUACAAUUUCUAGAAGGGUAUUGUCACCAA